rnacentral:lncRNA from 1 species
AAUUUAGAAUUAGACUAGGAUUUAGCGUUUGAUUUAGAAUUUAUUUAAGAUAUAGGAUUUAGGAUUUAGAAUUUGCUUAAGAUUUGCUUAAGAUUUGCUUAAGACUUAGACUAGGAUUUAGAAUUAGAUUUAAGAUUUGCUUAAGUUUUGAUUUAGAAUUUGUUUUGGAUUUAGGAUUUAAGAUUUAUUUAGGAUUUAGAGUUUAAGAUUUAGCUUAGAAUUUGAUAAAAGUCUAUUAAGAUUUUAAUUAGGGUUAAAUUAGAACUUUAUUUAGAUUUAUUUAAGAUAUAUUUAUAAUUAUUUUAAUAUUUCUUUAGGAUUUCUUAAAAAUUCUUUUAAAUUUUAUUGUGGAUUUCUUUUGAAUUCUUUUAAGAUUUCUUAUUCUUUUUUUUGUAAUUUCUUUAAAGUUUCUUUUGAAUUUUAUUGAUGCUUGCUUAAUAUUGUUAAAGUUUAAUUAGAGUUUAUUUAGUAUACUAUUAGAUUUAAAAUUUUGUUGUUGCAAUUUUUAUUCUAUCUUCCACAACUAGGUACUCGGUACAUUCUUAAGCAAGACUUCAUGUAAUACGACAUCAUAACUCUGAUUUUUUUGAUAGUUCAAUCCAAAAUUCCAUUAGUAAAGUAGAAAUAUAUAAGUCUAGUACAUCCAAAUCCU